rnacentral:rRNA from 1 species
AGUGAACGCUGGCGGCAGGCCUAAUACAUGCAAGUCGAACGGCAGCACAGCAGAGCUUGCUCUGUGGGUGGCGAGUGGCGGACGGGUGAGGAAUACGUGGGAAUCUGCCCAGUCGUGGGGGAUAACGUAGGGAAACUUACGCUAAUACCGCAUGCGCCCUUCGGGGAAAGCCGGGGACCUUCGGGCCUGGCGCGAUUGGAUGAGCCCACGUCGGAUUAGCUAGUUGGCGGGGUAAAGGCCCACCAAGGCGACGAUCCGUAGCUGGUCUGAGAGGAUGAUCAGCCACACUGGAACUGAGACACGGUCCAGACUCCUACGGGAGGCAGCAGUAGGGAAUAUUGGACAAUGGGCGCAAGCCUGAUCCAGCCAUGCCGCGUGAGUGAAGAAGGCCCUCGGGUUGUAAAGCUCUUUUGUCCGGAAAGAAAAGCGCCGGGUUAAUACCCUGGUGUCCUGACGGUACCGGAAGAUAAGCACCGGCUAACUUCGUGCCAGCAGCCGCGGUAAU